rnacentral:rRNA from 1 species
UUGCUUCGGUAAUUGACCUAGCGGCGGACGGGUGAGUAAUACUUAGGAAUCUGCCUAUUAAUGGGGGACAACAUCUCGAAAGGGAUGCUAAUACCGCAUACGCCCUACGGGGGAAAGCAGGGGAUCACUUGUGACCUUGCGUUAAUAGAUGAGCCUAAGUCGGAUUAGCUAGUUGGUGGGGUAAAGGCCUACCAAGGCGACGAUCUGUAGCGGGUCUGAGAGGAUGAUCCGCCACACUGGGACUGAGACACGGCCCAGACUCCUACGGGAGGCAGCAGUGGGGAAUAUUGGACAAUGGGGGGAACCCUGAUCCAGCCAUGCCGCGUGUGUGAAGAAGGCCUUAUGGUUGUAAAGCACUUUAAGCGAGGAGGAGGCUCUUUUGGUUAAUACCCAAGAUGAGUGGACGUUACUCGCAGAAUAAGCACCGGCUAACUCUGUGCCAGCAGCCGCGGUAAUACAGAGGGUGCGAGCGUUAAUCGGAUUUACUGGGCGUAAAGCGUGCGUAGGCGGCUUUUUAAGUCGGAUGUGAAAUCCCCGAGCUUAACUUGGGAAUUGCAUUCGAUACUGGGAAGCUAGAGUAUGGGAGAGGAUGGUAGAAUUCCAGGUGUAGCGGUGAAAUGCGUAGAGAUCUGGAGGAAUACCGAUGGCGAAGGCAGCCAUCUGGCCUAAUACUGACGCUGAGGUACGAAAGCAUGGGGAGCAAACAGGAUUAGAUACCCUGGUAGUCCAUGCCGUAAACGAUGUCUACUAGCCGUUGGGGUCUUUGAGACUUUAGUGGCGCAGCUAACGCGAUAAGUAGACCGCCUGGGGAGUACGGUCGCAAGACUAAAACUCAAAUGAAUUGACGGGGGCC